rnacentral:rRNA from 1 species
UACGUAGGGUCCGAGCGUUGUCCGGAAUUAUUGGGCGUAAAGGGCUCGUAGGCGGUUCGUCACGUCGGGAGUGAAAACUCGGAGCUUAACUCCGAGCCUGCUUCCGAUACGGGCAGACUAGAGGUAGGCAGGGGAGAACGGAAUUCCUGGUGUAGCGGUGAAAUGCGCAGAUAUCAGGAAGAACACCCGUGGCGAAGGCGGCUCUCUGGGACGGUACUGACGCUGAGACGCGAAAGCGUGGGGAGCGAACAGG